AGCAGCCGCGGUAAUUCCAGCUCCAAUAGCGUAUAUUAAAGUUGUUGCAGUUAAAAAGCUCGUAGUUGAAUUUCGGGAUCAAAUUGUUGGUCGUGCCUCGGUACGCACUGGUAUUAUUGGUUCCUACCUUCUGAAGAAUCGCGAUGUCAUUAAUUUGGUGUCUUGGGAAAUCAGGACUGUUACUUUGAAAAAAUUAGAGUGUUUAAAGCAGGCUCGCGCUUGAAUACAUUAGCAUGGAAUAAUGAAAUAGGACGUUUGAUUCUAUUUUGUUGGUUUCUAGGAUCGACGUAAUGAUUAAUAGGGAUAGUUGGGGGCAUUAGUAUUCAAUUGUCAGAGGUGAAAUUCUUGGAUUUAUUGAAGACUAACUACUGCGAAAGCAUUUGCCAAGGAUGUUUUCAUUAAUCAAGAACGAAAGUUAGGGGAUCGAAGACGAUCAGAUACCGUCGUAGUCUUAACCAUAAACUAUGCCGACUAGGGAUCGGAUGAUGUUAAU
rnacentral:rRNA from 1 species